UACUAACCUCCCAUCUCAUAAAAUCUGAUACUCUAAUUGUUAAUAUUAUAUUUGAUGUUUCUUAGCUUUUCAAUUUAUCUGUUAUUACUUUAAAUUGGAAUUCCCUAAUCAGUUCAUUUGAUUUAUUUUAUUUUUCACAAUUUAUUUCUCCGGAAAAAUCGAAUGUGGCAUCGAUUUGUUAUCUAACCCGUUGAUGGUGUUGAGAUUGUUGUGUCUAGUCUGUUCUUUGGCUGGAAUAUUUCGACUCAACCGGGUUUCUCGUGCAGCUAGCGAUGGUGGUGUUGGGUUUCUAGGAAAUGGACUGGUCGUGAUCCGAUUAUCACACAAAAUCACAUCGAUUAUUGCUUCUCUCUCUCUCUAUUUGAUUGCAAUAGAAUAUAUAUUUUUUAAUAUUUUGCUCUGUAUGAUCAUAUAUAUGCCAGGAAAAAAAAAAAAUCAAAUACGCAAAAUUAGAUUUUGGAUCUGUUGUAGAUUUUUCCUAUUUUAAGAAAAAAAUGUUUCCUUUUGUUCCUAUUUGAAUUGUUCCUUCACUUUGUAGGUUGAAGGGGAUGGGUAUUCUCUUUAUUAAAAAAGAGGAAAAAGGGGUCCUAUGAUGGAGGAUCGAUAUUCAGCCCUUGUCGAUGUUCAAGGAGAUUCCAAAUAGAAACAUCUUGGAUUGAUAAAAGCUUGUCCCAUCUAAGAAGAGAAAUAUCAAGAUAUAGUGGAAUAGUAAAACCAUCAAGGGUAUAAGAGGCCAUUAUGGGAGGAUAUCUAAAUUAUGAUGAUGUUUACAAGGAGGUGAACCCCAAAAGGUGACUACCGGGAAGGUGUUACAAGGUUCAAUGCUUAGACCAAACACAACUCUUGAGAGCAGUCGAUUUAAUGAUACAUGAUCAAAGAAAGUUUAAAACCUUCUGUGACCUACUUGAUGAUUUAAAGAAACUAGGGAUUUUGAUGCAUUUGAAUUAAUGAGUAGUCUGUAGUUGUAGUUAUUUGUAACUUUAUCUUUGUAAUAGAGGCUUUGGCUCUUUGACAAGCUUUGCUCUUUGUUGUGGACCAUUAGUUUCAAAAGGUUACCUUUGAAUGCGAUGCAUUGUCAGUGA